GGACCAUUGGUGUAGCGGUCUAACAUGCUUCCCUGUCACGGAAGAGACCACGAGUUCGAAUCUCGUAUGGUCCGCCA
rnacentral:tRNA from 1 species